GACUGCAGCCCGAUCUCGCAAGCUAAGCAGGGUUGGGCUUGGUUAGUACUUGAAUGGGAGACCGCCUGGGAAUACCAGGCGCUGUGGCUC
ensembl:rRNA 5S_rRNA 5S ribosomal RNA